GAUGAAUGUUAGGUGUUGCGGGUAUCGACCCCUGCAGUGCGGAGUAAACACAAUAAACAUUCCGCCUGGGGAGUACGGCCGCAAGGUUGAAACUCAAAGGAUUGACGGGGGCCCGCACAAGCAGCGGAGCAUGUUGUUUAAUUCGAAGCAACGCGAAGAACUUACCAGGUCUUGACAUCGAGGUAAACUUGCAGAGAUGCAAGGUGGCUUCGGCCAACCGAGACAGGUGGUGCAUGGUUGUCGUCAGCUCGUGUCGUGAGAUGUUGGGUUAAGUCCCGCACGAGCGCAACCCUUAUGGUCAGUUACUAACACGCAAAGGUGAGGACUCUGACAAGACUGCGGGGACAACUCGGAGGAAGGUGGGGACGACGUCAAAUCAUCAUGCCCCUUAUGACCUGGGUACAAACGUGCUACAAUGGUGACAACAAAGAGGAGCGAGACCGUAAGGUGGAGCGGAUCUAAAAAAGUCAUCCCAGUUCGGAUUGUGGGCUGCAACCCGCCCACAUGAAGUUGGAGUUGCAGUAAUCGCGGAUCAGCAUGCCGCGGUGAAUACGUUCCCGGGCCUUGCACACACCGCCCG
rnacentral:rRNA from 1 species